AUUGAACGCUGGCGGCAGGCUUAACACAUGCAAGUCGAACGAGCGGCGGACGGGUGAGUAAUGUAUGGGGAUCUGCCUGAUGGAGGGGGAUAACUACUGGAAACGGUAGCUAAUACCGCAUACCAUCAGAUGAACCCAUAUGGGAUUAGCUUGUAGGUGAGGUAACGGCUCACCUAGGCGACGAUCCCUAGCUGGGCUGAGAGGAUGAUCAGCCAACCUGGGACUGAGACACGGCCCAGACUCCUACGUGAGGCAGCAGUGGGGAAUAUUGCACAAUGGGCGCAAGCCUGAUGCAGCCAUGCCGCGUGUAUGAAGAAGGCCUUCGGGUUGGAAAGUACUUUCAGUCGGGAGUCGUUACCGACAGAAGAAGCACCGGCUAACUCCGUGCCAGCAGCCGCGGUAAUAC
rnacentral:rRNA from 1 species